rnacentral:rRNA from 2 species
ACAACUUUUAGCAACGGAUCUCUUGGCUCUCGCAUCGAUGAAGAACGCAGCGAAAUGCGAUAAGUAAUGUGAAUUGCAGAAUUCAGUGAAUCAUCGAAUCUUUGAACGCACCUUGCGCUCCUUGGUAUUCCGAGGAGCAUGCCUGUUUGAGUGUCAUGGAAU